GAUGAACGCUGGCGGCGUGCCUAAUACAUGCAAGUCGAGCGAACGGACGAGAAGCUUGCUCCUUUGAUGUUAGCGGCGGACGGGUGAGUAACACGUGGAUAACCUACCUAUAAGACUGGGAUAACUUCGGGAAACCGGAGCUAAUACCGGAUAAUAUUUCGAACCGCAUGGUUCAAAAGUGAAAGAUGGCUUUGCUGUCACUUAUAGAUGGACCUGCGCUGCAUUAGCUAGUUGGUAAGGUAACGGCUUACCAAGGCAACGAUGCAUAGCCGACCUGAGAGGGUGAUCGGCCACACUGGAACUGAGACACGGUCCAGACUCCUACGGGAGGCAGCAGUAGGGAAUCUUCCGCAAUGGGCGAAAGCCUGACGGAGCAACGCCGCGUGAGUGAUGAAGGUCUUCGGAUCGUAAAACUCUGUUAUUAGGGAAGAACAUAUGUGUAAGUAACUGUGCACAUCUUGACGGUACCUAAUCAGAAAGCCACGGCUAACUACGUG
rnacentral:rRNA from 1 species